AACGAACGCUGGCGGCAGGCUUAACACAUGCAAGUCGAGCGCGCCGCAAGGGGAGCGGCAGACGGGUGAGUAACGCGUGGGAACGUACCCUCUGCUACGGAAUAGCUCCGGGAAACUGGGAUUAAUACCGUAUGUGGCCGACGGGGGAAAGCUUUAUCGGCAAAGGAGCGGCCCGCGGUGGAUUAGCUAGUUGGUGGGGUAAGGGCCUACGAAGGCGACGAUCCAUAGCUGGUCUGAGAGGAUGAGCAGCCACAGUGGGACGGAGACACGGCCCAAACUCAUACGGGAGGCAGCAGUGGGGGAUAUUGGACAAUGGGCGGAAGCCUGAUCCAGCCAUGCCGCGUGAGUGAUGAAGGCCUUAGGGUUGUAAAGCUCUUUCACCGGAGAAGAUAAUGACGGUAUCCGGAGAAGAAGCCCCGGCUAACUUCGUGCCAGCCGCCGCAGUAAAAC
rnacentral:rRNA from 1 species